GAUGAACGCUAGCUACAGGCUUAACACAUGCAAGUCGAGGGGCAGCAUGGUCUUAGCUUGCUAAGGCCGAUGGCGACCGGCGCACGGGUGAGUAACGCGUAUCCAACCUGCCUUACACUCUUGGACAGCCUUCUGAAAGGGAGAUUAAUACAAGAUGUUAUCAUGAGUAAGCAUUUUCGCAUGAUUAAAGGUUUACCGGUGUAAGAUGGGGGUGCGUUCCAUUAGAUAGUAGGCGGGGUAACGGCCCACCUAGUCUUCGAUGGAUAGGGGUUCUGAGAGGAAGGUCCCCCACAUUGGAACUGAGACACGGUCCAAACUCCUACGGGAGGCAGCAGUGAGGAAUAUUGGUCAAUGGACGAGAGUCUGAACCAGCCAAGUAGCGUGAAGGAUGAAGGUUCUAUGGAUUGUAAACUUCUUUUAUACGGGAAUAAACGAAUCCACGUGUGGAUUUUUGCAUGUACCGUAUGAAUAAGGAUCGGCUAACUCCGUGCCAGCAGCCGCGGUAAUACGGAGGAUCCGAGCGUUAUCCGGAUUUAUUGGGUUUAAAGGGAGCGUAGAUGGGUCGUUAAGUCAGUUGUGAAAGUUUGCGGCUCAACCGUAAAAUUGCAAUUGAUACUGGCAGUCUUGAGUACAGUUGAGGUAGGCUGAAUUCGUGGUGUAGCGGUGAAAUGCUUAGAUAUCACGAAGAACUCCGAUUGCGAAGGCAGCUUACUAACCUGUAACUGACAUUGAUGCUCGAAAGUGUGGGUAUCAAACAGGAUUAGAUACCCUGGUAGUCCACACGGUAAACGAUGAAUACUCGCUGUAGGCGAUAUACAGUCUGCGGCCAAGCGAAAGCAUUAAGUAUUCCACCUGGGGAGUACGCCGGCAACGGUGAAACUCAAAGGAAUUGACGGGGGCCCGCACAAGCGGAGGAACAUGUGGUUUAAUUCGAUGAUACGCGAGGAACCUUACCCGGGCUUAAAUUGCAACCGAAUAUGGCGGAAACGCUAUAGCUAGCAAUAGCGGUUGUGAAGGUGCUGCAUGGUUGUCGUCAGCUCGUGCCGUGAGGUGUCGGCUUAAGUGCCAUAACGAGCGCAACCCUUGCCGAUAGUUACUAACAGGUCAUGCUGAGGACUCUGUCGGGACUGCCAUCGUAAGAUGUGAGGAAGGUGGGGAUGACGUCAAAUCAGCACGGCCCUUACGUCCGGGGCUACACACGUGUUACAAUGGGGGGGUACAGAGGGCUGCUACCACGCAAGUGGAUGCCAAUCCCAAAAACCUCUCUCAGUUCGGAUUGAAGUCUGCAACCCGACUUCAUGAAGCUGGAUUCGCUAGUAAUCGCGCAUCAGCCACGGCGCGGUGAAUACGUUCCCGGGCCUUGUACACACCGCCCGUCAAGCCAUGGGAGCCGGGGGUACCUGAAGUGCGUAACCGCAAGGAGCGCCCUAGGGUAAAACUGGUGACUGGGGCUAAGUCAUAACA
rnacentral:rRNA from 1 species